GACAGAGGGUGCAAACGUUGUUCGGAAUUACUGGGCGUAAAGCGCAUGUAGGCGGCCAAGCAGGUCGGAUGUGAAAUCCCUCGGCUCAACCAAGGAAGUGCAUUCGAAACCGCAUGGCUGGAGUCCCGGAGAGGGCAGUGGAAUUCUCGGUGUAGAGGUGAAAUUCGUAGAUAUCGAGAGGAACACCGGCGGCGAAAGGCGGCUGCCUGGACGAGG
rnacentral:rRNA from 1 species